rnacentral:rRNA from 1 species
UAAUUGAAGAGUUUGAUCAUGGCUCAGAUUGAACGCUGGCGGCAGGCCUAACACAUGCAAGUCGAGCGGCAGCACAAGGGAGUUUACUCCUGAGGUGGCGAGCGGCGGACGGGUGAGUAAUGCCUAGGGAUCUGCCCAGUCGAGGGGGAUAACAGUUGGAAACGACUGCUAAUACCGCAUACGCCCUACGGGGGAAAGAGGGGGACCUUCGGGCCUCUCGCGAUUGGAUGAACCUAGGUGGGAUUAGCUAGUUGGUGAGGUAAUGGCUCACCAAGGCGACGAUCCCUAGCUGUUC